GGGCACGUAGCUCAGUUGGCUAGAGCGCCACAUUGACGUUGUGGAAGUCGGGGGUUCGAAUCCCUCCGUGCCCACCA
rnacentral:tRNA from 1 species